UGCCCUGCCCACAGGCCCCCGCCUCUGCCUUGCCCUCCCACCCAGCCGAUCACCUACAGGAGGCUGGUCUGUGGGGGUGGCAUCUCCACCCCACCUCCUUCCCCUUGUCACCUCCCUUCUCCUCUGAACUGGGCUGAGCGAUCCUGCCCUCUCUGGGGUCACCCACGCAGGUGUCAUGGCAUCCACUGAAUUUCUUGACAGAGUGCUCUCUAACGAGCCCUCUUUAAGCUUGGAGGAGAAGAAAGAAGAAGAGAAAGAGGAAGAAGAGGACGAGGAGGCAGGAGGCGUCCCUGGGGUUGGGCCAGACUACGCAGUCCAGAAGGAGCAAGAAGCCCCCUACCCAGCCGAAGACAAGCCGGGAGCAGCUUCUACAGAUGUGCCAGCGGAUAUGCCUGCUGCCAAGGCUGGCGGGAGCAGCUCUAGGGGCUCCUUGGGUGUUGGGUGUCUGGAACUGGGUUCCACACUGGGUGGGAUGGGAGAAGAGGAGGAGAAGGAGGAAAAA